rnacentral:rRNA from 1 species
UACGUAGGGGGCGAGCGUUGUCCGGAAUUAUUGGGCGUAAAGGGCUCGUAGGCGGUCUGUUGCGUCGGGAGUGAAAACUCAGGGCUUAACCCUGAGCCUGCUUCCGAUACGGGCAGACUAGAGGUAUGCAGGGGAGAACGGAAUUCCUGGUGUAGCGGUGAAAUGCGCAGAUAUCAGGAGGAACACCGGUGGCGAAGGCGGUUCUCUGGGCAUUACCUGACGCUGAGGAGCGAAAGUGUGGGGAGCGAACAGG